GGCGAUGAAGGGCGUGCUAAUCUGCGAUAAGCGCCGGUAAGGUGAUAUGAACCGUUAUAACCGGCGAUACCCGAAUGGGGAAACCCAGUGUGACUCGUCACACUAUCAUUAACUGAAUCCAUAGGUUAAUGAGGCGAACCGGGGGAACUGAAACAUCUAAGUACCCCGAGGAAAAGAAAUCAACCGAGAUUCCCCCAGUAGCGGCGAGCGAACGGGGAGGAGCCCAGAGCCUGAAUCAGCAUGUGUGUUAGUGGAAGCGUCUGGAAAGGCGCGCGAUACAGGGUGACAGCCCCGUACACAAAAGCGCAUGUGCUGUGAGCUCGAUGAGUAGGGCGGGACACGUGGUAUCCUGUCUGAAUAUGGGGGGACCAUCCUCCAAGGCUAAAUACUCCUGACUGACCGAUAGUGAACCAGUACCGUGAGGGAAAGGCGAAAAGAACCCCGGCGAGGGGAGUGAAAAAGAACCUGAAACCGUGUACGUACAAGCAGUGGGAGCCCCACCACCAAAGCAUUUGCUGUACCGCGUUGACGGAGCGAAGCGACGUCAAACCGAUAAAACAGCAGUGUAAAGUGAGCCGCAGGGCGCUUUGCGCGACAGCGCAAAGGCAGGCGGUUUCGCGUAGCGAAAGCGAAUGCUUUGGGGUGGGGUGACUGCGUACCUUUUGUAUAAUGGGUCAGCGACUUAUAUUCUGUAGCAAGGUUAACCGAAUAGGGGAGCCGGAGGGAAACCGAGUCUUAAUUGGGCGUUAAGUUGCAGGGUAUAGACCCGAAACCCGGUGAUCUAGCCAUGGGCAGGUUGAAGGUUGGGUAACACUAACUGGAGGACCGAACCGACUAAUGUUGAAAAAUUAGCGGAUGACCUGUGGCUGGGGGUGAAAGGCCAAUCAAACCGGGAGAUAGCUGGUUCUCCCCGAAAGCUAUUUAGGUAGCGCCUCGUGAAUUCAUCUCCGGGGGUAGAGCACUGUUUCGGCUAGG
rnacentral:rRNA from 1 species